AAGGAUUUAUAAAAAUAAAAAAAAAACAUUGAAAAAAAGUUAUUGGGUUCUUCAAUAUACCAGUCAAUACCGAUGUCAAUGCCAACCACUUGGAAUACUUAAAACGUCUUUUGAUACACCAAGUAAAAACUUAUGGCGAAAGUGGGGACAGUACAAAACUAAUUUCGGAUGUUUGACAUAAUAAAAACGUUUCAGACGCUUCAACUAUUUAUUUUGUUGAAGAGAAAAAAUAAGAAUUGCCAAGGAGUUGUUGGUUCCAGCUGGAGAAUGCUGAAACUGAUCGGAAUAAAAAUAGAUUGCCAUUACGCGACAAAACUUAAUAUGUCAGAACUUAAAUUGUAAGUCUGUCGCACCAAUUACGAAUAAAUUCAAAAUAACAACAACCAUAUUAUAUUUACAACAACUAUGUACAUAAAGAAAUAAUAACAUUUCAUCUUACAUUUAUUUUAUCUUAUCGCAUGUAAUAAAGCAACAAAACAAAAAAU